rnacentral:rRNA from 1 species
GACGAACGCUGGCGGCGUGCCUAAUACAUGCAAGUCGACCUUAGUGGCGAACGGGUGAGUAACACGUGGGUAACCUGCCCAGAAGAAGUGGAUAACACUUGGAAACAAGCGCUAAUACCGUAUACUGAUGGAUGGAUUCGCGGGGCAUUAGCUAGUUGGUGGGGUAACGGCUCACCAAGGCCACGAUGCAUAGCCGACCUGGGAGGGUGAUCGGCCGCCUUGGAGCGUGGACACGGCCCAAACGCCUGCGGGAGGGAGCAGUAGGGAAUCUUCGGCAGUGGACGAAAGUCUGGCCUAGCAAGGCCGCGUGAGUGACGAAGGUUUUCGGAUCGUAAAGCACUGUUGUUAGAGAUGCGGUACCUGAACAGAAAGCCCCGGCUAACUACGUGCCAGCAGCCGCGGUAAUAC